rnacentral:lncRNA from 1 species
GAUAGAAAGGCAGUGACAAAUGGACAGUAUGGAUAACAUGUUGUCAUAUUCACCGGUAAUAAGAGAAUAAGAGUAAAGCACCAGUUAGAAGUCAUUUUGUAUUGUCGUUCUUGGUUAUUUUCUGAGAUUGCUAUUUCUUGUAUUUUUUAUAUUUUUGAGCAUAGUAAUUCUAGUUUAGAGUUUGAUAGAGGGAGCAUCAUGGCAAUUGAAAGUGCAAAGUGAGCUACAGACAAAGAGGAUAGCGGCCAGAAUAUGAGAGCUAGACGCGCAUUAAAACCACCUUCUUUGAUAAUCGUUACCAAUAUGGAACCGAUGA